ACGCUCGACACCUACGGGAGGCAGCAGUGGGGAAUAUUGCACAAUGGGGGAAACCCUGAUGCAGCGACGCCGCGUGAAGGAAGAAGUAUCUCGGUAUGUAAACUUCUAUCAGCAGGGAAAGAAAAUGACGGUACCUGACUAAGAACGCCCCGGCUAACUACGUGCCAUCAGCCGCGGUAAUCUGAGGCGGGCUGGCAAGGC
rnacentral:rRNA from 1 species